CAACUUUCAACAACGGAUCUCUUGCGUCUCGCAUCGAUGAAGAACGCAGCGAAAUGCGAUAAGUAAUGUGAAUUGCAGAAUUCAGUGAAUCAUCGAAUCUUUGAAGCACCUUGCGCCCCUUGGCAUUCCGAGGGGCAACGCCUGUUUGAGUGUCGUGA
rnacentral:rRNA from 1 species